AUACGAAGGGGGCUAGCGUUGUUCGGAAUUACUGGGCGUAAAGCGCGCGUAGGCGGACUGAUCAGUUGGGGGUGAAAUCCCAGGGCUUAACCCUGGAACUGCCUCCAAUACUGUCAGUCUUGAGUUCGGGAGAGGUGAGUGGAAUUCCUAGUGUAGAGGUGAAAUUCGUAGAUAUUAGGAAGAACACCAGUGGCGAAGGCGGCCCACUGGCCCGAUACUGACGCUGAGGCGCGAAAGCGUGGGGAGCAAACAGGAUUAGAAACCCUAGUAGUCC
rnacentral:rRNA from 1 species